rnacentral:sRNA from 1 species
GUAGAUUUCUGUUGUGAGUUUUCUUGCUUUGACAGUAUGACCUACAGCCUCAUUAAAGGGCUAGAGCAGAAAGGAGUGUCAGUAAAAGGUGCUAGAUGGGGAGGCUAAGACGGGAAGCUGGUAGGGGUGAGACUGAUCUACGUAAGAGGCCAGCCAGAACCUUCAGAACAUUCUGUGAUUGGGUUAUUAUACCCCUGCAUUGACAGACAUCUAGGAGAACCACAUAAAUUUAAAAGAGAGUGGUCCAGUGUAAUGCGGUGUGUAGCAGUCUUUGUUGGUAUAAAUCAUGCCAGUGCUAAAGUGGAUUUUGAUAACAACAUACAGUUGUCUCUCACACUGGCUGCACUAUCCAUUGGACUGUGGUGGACUUUUGAUAGAUCUAGAAGUGGUUUUGGCCUUGGAGUAGGAAUCGCCUUCUUGGCAACCGUGGUCACUCAAUUGCUAGUGUAUAAUGGUGUUUAUCAAUAUACAUCUCCAGAUUUCCUCUAUGUUCGUUCUUGGUUACCAUGUAUAUUUU